UGAAGUAUCUUGAUCUUCUAUUUUGUUCUCACUCCAUAAUGGUUCUGUUUCUUCAAAGAAAUGAAUGAUCUCUCUAAAAAAUGAAUCUCAGUGAACAACAACAACAGCAGCAGCAACAACAACAACAACAAGUGCAUGAUGAAGAAGAGGAAGAAUUUGAAGCACCAAAAAGUUAUUGUUGUUACAUCACAUGUAUUCUCAUAUCGAUAUCGGCAUUUGGUUUUUUUCUUGCUUUCAUUGUGUACCUUUUUGUUAGAUAUGCUCAAAUAAAGAAAAAACAACAUCACUGGGACGAAGACACAAUGCCUUAAAUUUAUUUGGAGACAAGCUAGAUGUGUGUUUCAUCUUCUUUCACAGUUAUAAAUUUCAAUGUUUCUCUGUAAUUCUGUACUACAAAGAAACAUUGGAAAGGUACACUCAUGAAUGUCAUGACAUAUUGGAACAUAAUUCAAUUUAGAACAUUACUUGAAUGACAAAACCAAAAAAAAAAAAAACAUUACUUGAAUGAGUUGAUUUGGUUGGUGUGUAUUUGUUUUAGAAUAGAGAGAAAACAUACAAGUGUUUAUGUCAAUAAGUAUUUGGAUGAGUUAAGUGAAUGAAAAAGUCUAGUUCUAAUUCUUUAAGUUUUA